rnacentral:pre_miRNA from 1 species
UUUAAGUCUAACUAUAAGUUUCUAUGCCCAAUUUAGAUGGUUCAUUUUAUUUAAUUAUUAUUAUUAUUAUUAUUAUUAUUAUUAUUAUUAUUAUUAUUAUUAUACGAUAAAACAUGAAUACUAAUUUAUGUGUGACUAAUGUUUUUAUUUUUUUUAAAUAAGACAGACGAUCAAAGUUGGCCACGAAAAAUCAUGGCAUCACCCUAG